rnacentral:rRNA from 1 species
UACGAAGGGUGCAAGCGUUAGUCGGAAUUACUGGGCGUAAAGCGUGCGUAGGUGGUUUCUUAAGUCCGUUGUGAAAGCCCUGGGCUCAACCUGGGAACUGCAGUGGAUACUGAGAGGCUAGAGUGUGUCAGAGGAUGGUGGAAUUCCCGGUGUAGCGGUGAAAUGCGUAGAGAUCGGGAGGAACAUCAGUGGCGAAGGCGGCCAUCUGGGACAACACUGACGCUGAGGCACGAAAGCGUGGGGAGCAAACGGG